GUGCUUGCUUCGGCAGCACAUAUACUAAAAUUGGAACGAUGCAGAGAAGCUUAGCAUGGGCCCUGUGCAGGGAUGACAUGCAAUUCCCAUAAAAAAGAAAAAAGAAA
rnacentral:snRNA from 1 species